rnacentral:rRNA from 1 species
CAGCAGCCGCGGGAAUACGGAGGAUCCGAGCGCUAUCCGGAAUUAUUGGGUUUAAAGGGUGCGUAGGCGGAUAGAUAAGUCAGUGGUGAAAGACGGUGGCUCAACCAUCGCAGUGCCGUUGAUACUGUUUAUCUUGAAUAUGGAUGAGGUAGGCGGAAUGUGGCAAGUAGCGGUGAAAUGCAUAGAUAUGCCACAGAACACCGAUUGCGAAGGCAGCUUACCAAGGCAAAAUUGACGCUGAGGCACGAAAGCGUGGGGAUCGAACAGGAUUAGAUACCCCUGUAGUCCCUGUCUCUUAUAC